rnacentral:rRNA from 1 species
GAUGAACGCUAGCGGCAGGCCUAAUACAUGCAAGUCGAACGGGGCAGUUCAGCAAUGGACUGUUCAGUGGCGCACGGGUGCGUAACGCGUAUGCAACCUACCUUAAACUGGGGGAUAGCCUUCCGAAAGGGAGAUUAAUACCGCAUAAUACUAUUUGAUGGCAUCUGAAGAUAGUUAAAGAUUUAUUGGUUUAAGAUGGGCAUGCGUGCCAUUAGCUAGUUGGUUGAGGUAACGGCUCACCAAGGCUACGAUGGCUAGGGGUUCUGAGAGGAUGAUCCCCCACACUGGUACUGAGAUACGGACCAGACUCCUACGGGAGGCAGCAGUAGGGAAUAUUGGGCAAUGGACGCAAGUCUGACCCAGCCAUGCCGCGUGCAGGAAGAAGGCCUUCUGGGUUGUAAACUGCUUUUAUCUGGGAAGAAAACACCUAUGCGUAGGAAACUGACGGUACCAGAUGAAUAAGCACCGGCUAACUACGUGC